AUGACCUCUGGAUUUGGCACUCCUUCUUUGGUACGCCAGGAACUCACAAUGACAUCAACGUACUGCAGUGCUCGAAUGUCUUUGCCAAGCUUGUUGAAGGUCAUUGCUCCUCCGGUGAACUUCGAGGUCCAUGGGUGCCACUACAACAAGGGAUAUUACCUAGUAGAUGACAUCUAUCCGAGAUGUUCCAUAUUUGUGAAGACUAUCUCAAAUCCUUUGCCAGAAGGCAAGAACUCCUACAUUGCCAAGUGUCAGGAGGCUUGUAGGAAGGAUGUCGAACGGGCAUUUGGUGUGCUCCAAUUUUGA
rnacentral:rRNA from 1 species